CAACACUUUAUAAGUGACUUUUUUUCUUCCGGUACUGGAGAUUGAACUCAGGACCUCGCAUUUCAGAGGCAGGCUGGAUCCAGAGGGGACAUGUGAAAGUGAAAACAUUAAAGUCUUUGAUGGAAGCUCUACCAAUGGGUCUCUCCUAGGGGAAGCCUGCAGUAAAAAUGACUUCAUUCCUGUCUUGGAGUCAUCAUCCAAUACACUGACAUUUCAAAUAAUCACAGACUCUGCAAGUAUCCAAAGAAGUGUCUUUAUCUUCUAUUACUACUUCUCUUCUGGCACCUGUAAGUUGUUAUCUACACAUCUUUUUUUCCUAUGCUUCUGCAAACACAGGUUAGACCUGUUUCAGCUCUGGUGUUUUCAGUCUUAGAUCUAUCCCCUCAGAGACCCUGUCUGCUUGGGAGAGUAGUAGUUCUCUACCCUGACUAUGACUAUGUACAGAGUAAUCUGGAGAACUUGUUAAAUCACAGACUUGAGCCUCACCAUGAAGAU